rnacentral:lncRNA from 1 species
CUCUCCAUUCUUUCUUUUUUCUUCAUAUAUAUUUUUUCUAAAUAAAGUGUUAAACUCACAUGUAAAAACCAAAAUUCUAUAUCUAUUCUUAAUAUUCCUGAUUCGCCAUCAUUGUUACGACUAAUCUUUUUCCAUCAUCUUCGUCACUGUAACUUUUGCCAAUGAUAACAUACAUAUGAAAAAUUCUACAUUCUAUUCAAAAU